rnacentral:rRNA from 1 species
GACGAACGCUGGCGGCGUGCUUAACACAUGCAAGUCGAACGGAAAGGCCCUGCUUUUGUGGGGUGCUCGAGUGGCGAACGGGUGAGUAACACGUGAGUAACCUGCCCUUGACUUUGGGAUAACUUCAGGAAACUGGGGCUAAUACCGGAUAGGAGCUCCUGCUGCAUGGUGGGGGUUGGAAAGUUUCGGCGGUUGGGGAUGGACUCGCGGCUUAUCAGCUUGUUGGUGGGGUAGUGGCUUACCAAGGCUUUGACGGGUAGCCGGCCUGAGAGGGUGACCGGCCACAUGGGGACUGAGAUGCGGCGCAGACUCCUACGGGAGGCAGCAGUGGGGAAUAUUGCACAAUGGGCGGAAGCCUGAGGCAGCAACGCCGCGUGCGGGAUGACGGCCUUCGGGUUGUAAACCGCUUUCGCCUGUGACGAAGCGUGAGUGACGGUAAUGGGUAAAGAAGCACCGGCUAACUACGUG